rnacentral:misc_RNA from 1 species
GGGGCCAAACGGUGGAUCCUCCUUACCGAACGAUAUUGAAAUGUGCAGUGUCCACACAGAUUGUCUGAUGAAAAAGUAAGGAGAUGAAAACCCUUUCUAGGAUUGGAGGUCGGGCGGAUGAAGCGCACCCCUGAUAAGGGCGAGGAUGGGGGUUCAAGUCCACGCCUGUCUACCGAAUUCGUUGAUCGCUGAUUUGCUAACCCAUUUCCUUGUCCCCAUCAACUUCCCGUCUAGCACACUGGCCUUUAACGGAAGUGACUCGGGUUCGAAUCCACGUGGGGACGCCAUUCCCAUAAUGCAUGAAAGACAUUAUCUCUGAUCUGUUUGAAACAGAGUCUGCCUUGCCCGGUUGAGGAUAUCGGUUUUAUCCCUCUUGGAUCAACCUAAAAAAUGCUGUAAUUAUUAUACGAAAGAUUAUAUUGGAGACUUUAAAAUGCGAACAAUCUAGAACGGAAACUGUUUGGAACAUGGGAGAUAAUUGAACUGAUGAAUAACGGGGACAUUAUUGCAAAGUCUCUCAAAAGCGAACAGCCGAUGAUGGAAACAUCUUCGGGUUGUGAGGUUAAGUGACUAAGCCGUACACAGUGGAGGCCUUGGCA